CCUGCAGGCCCGCACUCGUGCCGCGCCCCUCUCCUCUCCCUGCUGCCUCGCCUCUCUCCCUCCCUCCAAACCCUAGACUUGCCCGCGCCUCCCUGCCCCGCCGCCGUCCAGUUCCAACCCCUGCCUCAUCGAGCGGCUCAUGGCGGUGCCGGAUCCGGUGUCGAGGUCGAGGCGCGCUUCCCGUGCGUGGGGAGAGGCACCCAGACCUAGUCCAAGACUCGCACCACGGCAUGCUCGCCGCCGUCCUCGUCAGGGUCGCCGGCAAGGCGCCAUGGUGGCUGCUUGUUCCCCUGCUGCCUCUCUCAUGUUGCCGCCGCCCCCAUCUGAGCUCGAGCUAUAGAGGCGUGCCGCUAGGUCCCCUCUUUCUUCCAGUCUUUUCGCCGGAUCUACUGAUGCACUCGUCGAUCUCUAGAUUGGUCCUCUGUGGCUCAAUCCCCUAGUCAAUGCCUCCUUCGAUCUAUGGCUGCUCGUCUCUGGUUACUGAUCUGCAGGUAUAUAUGUACUUCCCAUUCCAUCGGCUUCGGUUGGCAUGUUACCUGAGGGUCGUGCUUCCCAUUACAGGUCGACGAGACGGCAGAUUCGGUUAGUGAGAAGAUCGUCCAAAAGAACAUCGUCGAGAAAGACGAGCUGACGCAAAGAGGUCUGAACCAUAUGUUCCUGUUAUUGCCCCAGUGAGUGCGGCAAGAAAGGCAGGAAGAAGUAAUCCCUUCUGUUAGGACAAACUCGAUAUUCUGGUGGCGUAAAACUUUUGCAGACGGUUAAUGUAGAUAGAUGGUCUUUUAUCAAAAUGCCUGUACUAGCGAUUCCCCUGCUUAUGCUCCGGCUCCCAGGCACUUACCGCCAAAUCACUUGGUUGCUUCUGGGCGACGAUGGUUGCUAUCAAGACCAUCUCGCUUUCCAUCCGGACUAUCGGGCUCUGUAGAUAGAGACUGGCAUUUAGUCAGGUAAAGUUAUACUUGGAUUCCUUUCCGUUCAUUUAUUCGAGUUCUCAUAUUUCUGUAAACUAAUUUCUGCCCGUUCCUACUGUUCCUUGACUUGGCGGAAGGAGGUGAUACAAGUUCAUCCAAUGAUGUGCAACAUCCUUUGGAGUGCUUUGGGCCCUCGCGUUCAGUUUCAUGGAGGUAUCGGUGUGCAGAGGGUCACGAAGACUUUGUUGCCUCGCCUAUUUUGCAUGUACUUGUGUAGACAAGCUGAACCUGCUGAUGACUUUAUUGCCUUGCCUAUUUAGCAUGUACUUGGUGGAUAUCGAUGACUUUUAUCAAUUUGUGGCUCGGCGCGUACCAUUGUAUCAAAUCAUGGACCCUCGCAUGAUCUGCAACAUCCUUUGGAGUGCUUUGGGCUCUUGCAUCUGCUCGUGGUCAGGGGCGCAAUGUACGUGGAGGUGUUCAAUAGAGGGGUCAUUCUGCCGCCCUGCAACAUCAGGAAGAGGAACAGUAGGAACGGGCUGCCCUUCACCUAUUACGACGGCAUCUACCUGAACUCAUGCCUUUGAAGAUGUAUAGCGGUGCGCAGACGGAUUGAUCUUCCUGUUCGUACUCGUAGAUUGCAUAUCUGAACUUGGCAAAGAAUGGACCACAUGCUUCUCUAGCCUCAGAAGCAUGUUCAUAUGAAGCAAAUACAAGGCAUGCAGUGCUUUACGAUUUGAGAUGCCGCCCCUCCGGCCUGCCGCCGACGGCACACUGCUCUUCCAGCCGCCCCUGAGCCCACGCGACUCGCUGGAUCAUGCCCGCCCCUGAGCAGUGCGCAGCUCGCCGGACUGAUUCGUGCCACCCACGCCAACCUGAGAUCCGCCUCUGCAGGACGUGAUGGCUAGAUCACCGCGAGCCCCUACCCCGACCCCAAGGUCGGCGGCAGCGUCAAUCCCGACGGCCAGGUCACCGUCACCCCCAACCUCGACGCCCAGGUCAGCAGAAGGUGUGGAUGGAAGAGUGAGAAUAACUACAGGUUGGUCAAAGAUUGAAAGAAAUCGCUUAUGUGUCUUCGGCUUCGACACUGUGCAUAGGAAGUCGUCGCUGAUAAUCCAAAAUUUGAAAAGGUUCAUGUGUUGUGGCAUAUGAAAGGUUGGAAGUCAAGACGAACAGGUGGAUCUGUCCAAAAAAUAUGCUUCUGUGGAACUACAUAGUUUUUUUGUUCUUGCGUUGCCACUGUGGCUUGAUUUUGCUGCAUGAAAAGUACAUUGUCUGUAUCAAAUGGAUUGAUGGACCGGUCUUUCGCUUUUGUAAAGUAUAUAUUUCCAUUCCCCAUGAACUUCCCACGUGGUUUCUUUGCA